GCAUAUCAAUAAGCGGAGGAAAAGAAACCAACAGGGAUUGCCUCAGUAGCGGCGAGUGAAGCGGCAAGAGCUCAGAUUUGAAAUCGUGCUUUGCGGCACGAGUUGUAGAUUGCAGGUUGGAGUCUGUGUGGAAGGCGGUGUCCAAGUCCCUUGGAACAGGGCGCCCAGGAGGGUGAGAGCCCCGUGGGAUGCCGACGGAAGCAGUGAGGCCCUUCUGACGAGUCGAGUUGUUUGGGAAUGCAGCUCCAAGCGGGUGGUAAAUUCCAUCUAAGGCUAAAUACUGGCGAGAGACCGAUAGCGAACAAGUACUGUGAAGGAAAGAUGAAAAGCACUUUGAAAAGAGAGUGAAACAGCACGUGAAAUUGUUGAAAGGGAAGGGUAUUGCGCCCGACAUGGGGAUUGCGCACCGCUGCCUCUCGUGGGCGGCGCUCUGGGCUUUCCCUGGGCCAGCAUCGGUUCUUGCUGCAGGAGAAGGGGUUCUGGAACGUGGCUCUUCGGAGUGUUAUAGCCAGGGCCAGAUGCUGCGUGCGGGGACCGAGGACUGCGGCCGUGUAGGUCACGGAUGCUGGCAGAACGGCGCAACACCGCCCGUCUU
rnacentral:rRNA from 1 species